UGGAGCAGCUUGGUAGCUCGUCGGGCUCAUAACCCGAAGGUCGUUGGUUCAAAUCCAGCCCCCGCAACCA
rnacentral:tRNA from 7 species